rnacentral:lncRNA from 1 species
ACCAAAGGGAGCGGCAUGGCUGGGGAUGGUGCGAUCCCCCAUGAUGAUGGUGAAGCCACAAAGUCAAGUACGCUCCCUUCUGAAAGUUACUAAAUGAACUUCAAUCAGGACUUCAAUUUUCUUUCUGAAAACUGCUGGCAAAACAAGUGAUUCUGUUCCUGGCCUCAGAAUAAGGAAGAACAUGUACGCUUCAGAUACCUGAAAGGAACUGCUGUAUAGUGAAACUGGUAGUCACUUUUAUUCUUCACUUGGAUUUAUCUACGUACAUGAGAA